CAUUGUAAACUGGGAUGGGAUGGUACGUAGAUCUCCAGCAGUAGUGAAACUGUUUGUGAAACCUUAAUACCCAUACCAGCUUUACAAAUAUGCAUUUCUGUUCAAGAAAGUCCUAGCAAAGAAAGAAAGAAGGUGAAGGACCAACAUGCAUCAGCAACAUGUCUCAAAGGCACAGAAAUAAAAUUUCAGGAAGUGUUUCAAGCCAGCAACAAUAUCCAGUGUUAGAAGAGGAGUUGGAUACAAUAAAAGCUAAGUUCUAGAGUUGCUGAUGUUGCUGUGAGGAACUGGAAGAAACUGCAAGAAGUGGGCAGUGGACACACUGAGCUACUCCUGGGUGGCCAGCUGAGCUCCUAUCUGUGAAUGAAGGAUGAGGUUUCUUGAUAAAAUAUAUGAUCUAGUAUUGUAGGAAGAGUAACCUCAAAAACACAUUUUCCUCCAAAUUUCUAACCUGUUGUCAUAAAUAUUUUAAUAUUAAAGCCAGAUGAUAUUAGGCCUCCUGAAACCAUUAAUUUUACUCUCCCACAAUUUUUUUUUCCAGUCAAGUAUAAUUAAUAGUUCUAAAGCAAAAUAGUGUUAAAAUCUUGACUAGUAUUAAGGCAUUAAAGGUAACAAUAAUU